UACGGAGGGGGCUAGCGUUGUUCGGAAUUACUGGGCGUAAAGCGCACGUAGGCGGCUUCGCAAGUCAGAGGUGAAAGCCCGGGGCUCAACCCCGGAACUGCCUUUGAUACUGGAAGUCUUGAGUAUGGUAGAGGUGAGUGGAAUUCCGAGUGUAGAGGUGAAAUUCGUAGAUAUUCGGAAGAACACCAGUGGCGAAGGCGGCUCACUGGACGAUUGUUGACGCUGAGGUGCGAAAGCGUGGGGAGCAAACAGG
rnacentral:rRNA from 1 species